UACGUAGGGUGCAAGCGUUGUCCGGAAUUAUUGGGCGUAAAGAGCUCGUAGGCGGUUCGUCGCGUCGGCUGUGAAAACCCGGGGCUUAACCCCGAGCCUGCAGUGGAUACGGGCAGACUAGAGGUAGGUAGGGGAGAAUGGAAUUCCCGGUGUAGCGGUGAAAUGCGCAGAUAUCGGGAGGAACACCGGUGGCGAAGGCGGUUCUCUGGGCCUUACCUGACGCUGAGGAGCGAAAGCGUGGGGAGCAAACAGG
rnacentral:rRNA from 1 species